rnacentral:rRNA from 1 species
AGAACGAACGCUGGCGGCAUGCCUAACACAUGCAAGUCGAACGCUUUGCCGGUUUCGGCCGGCAAGGAGUGGCGCACGGGUGAGUAGCGCGUGGGAACCUGCCCUGUUGUGGGGGAUAACCGAGGGAAACUUCGGCUAAUACCGCAUAAGCCGGUUGUCUUGAAAGAGAUGGCCGGGAAAGAUUUAUCGCGACAGGAGGGGCCCGCGUCGGAUUAGCUAGUUGGCGGGGUAACGGCCCACCAAGGCUGUGAUCCGUAGCUGGUCUGAGAGGAUGAUCAGCCACACUGGGACUGAGACACGGCCCAGACUCCUACGGGAGGCAGCAGUGGGGGAAUAUUGGACAAUGGGCGCAAGCCUGAUCCAGCAAUGCCGCGUGAGUGAUGAAGGCCUUAGGGUUGUAAAGCUCUUUCGCCCGCGACGAUGAUGACGGUAGCGGGAGAAGAGCCCGGCUAACUUCGUGCCAGCAGCCGC